UACAGAGGUCUCAAGCGUUGUUCGGAUUCAUUGGGCGUAAAGGGUGCGUAGGCGGCGCGGUAAGUCGGGGUGUGAAAUCUCGGAGCUUAACUCCGAAACUGCAUUCGAUACUGCCGUGCUUGAGGACUGGAGAGGAGACUGGAAUUUACGGUGUAGCGGUGAAAUGCGUAGAUAUCGUAAGGAAGACCAGUGGCGAAGGCGGGUCUCUGG
rnacentral:rRNA from 1 species